rnacentral:rRNA from 1 species
GACGAACGCUGGCGGCGUGCUUAACACAUGCAAGUCGAACGGAGAGGCCCUGCUUUUGUGGGGUGCUCGAGUGGCGAACGGGUGAGUAACACGUGAGUAACCUGCCCUUGACUUUGGGAUAACUUCAGGAAACUGGGGCUAAUACCGGAUAGGAGCUCCUGCUGCAUGGUGGGGGUUGGAAAGUUUCGGCGGUUGGGGAUGGACUCGCGGCUUAUCAGCUUGUUGGUGGGGUAGUGGCUUACCAAGGCUUUGACGGGUAGCCGGCCCGAGAGGGGGACCGGGGACAUAGGGGCAGAGAUACGGCGCAGAGACCUACGCGGGGGAGAGGAGUGGAAAAUUGUGCACUGGGCGCGGGCGUGAUGUGGAGACGCGGCGCGUGGGAGGUCGGGCUUCUGGGGGUGUAACGCGCUUGCGCGUGACGCGAAGUGUGAGAGAGUGAAAGGUGUAGAGACGCACGGGAGAUCCAUG